rfam:Felis catus isolate Cinnamon breed Abyssinian chromosome A2, whole genome shotgun sequence.
GCCUGGGUGGCUUAGUAAGUUAAGCAUCUGACUUCGGCUCAGGUCGUGAUCUCACAGCUUGUGGGUUUGAGCCCCACGUCGGGCC